rnacentral:rRNA from 1 species
CUAUAGUCAGAUUUCAAACUUGAGAGUUUGAUCCUGGCUCAGAACGAACGCUGGCGGCAGGCUUAACACAUGCAAGUCGAACGCCCUCUUCGGAGGGAG